rnacentral:rRNA from 1 species
AACGUAGGAGGCAAGCGUUAUCCGGAUUCACUGGGCGUAAAGCGUGCGUAGGCGGUUGGGUAAGUCGGAUGUAAAAGCCCCUGGCUCAACUGGGGGAGGUCAUUCGAUACUGCUCGGCUUGAGGAUGAGAGAGGAGAGCGGAAUUCCCGGUGUAGCGGUGGAAUGCGUAGAGAUCGGGAGGAACACCAGCGGCGAAAGCGGCUCUCUGGCUCAUAUCUGACGCUGAGUGCACGACAGCGUGGGGAGCAAACGGG